AAAUGAUAGGUUUCCAGCAGAAAUUGCCUUUUCUAUUGUGAGAAUUCCAAGAGUAGAAAGUAUAACCAGGAAAGUAUAACUAUGUUAAAAAUAUAACAUUCCUUCACUAUGUUCUAAACUACUCAAAGACCAAGUUCCAAGGCCAGCAGGCUUUGAAUUGGGAGCAAGUGUUGGCUUUGAGCAGGAUAAUUCUUAUGUCCUGUGCUAUAAUUGUUGUUCUCCAAAAUAGAAAUUUACAGCAAACAUUUUAUCAGUGGUUUCAAUAUAGCUCAAAAGACCAAUUUCAAGGAGCAAGUCUGAGGUGACUUGAGCAUGAACAUAGCAGACUGAAACACAUAAUUGGCUGCUGGACCAUUACCAUAACAAUUAUAAAUGGCACAACAUUAACUAGGAGAUAAUUUCUGGAAAUGUGCUCUCAGAGUCACCAACACAGAUCUCCUUCAAUAAAUAUUUAAUAUUUUAAUUUUGAUUAUGAUUUACUACUUGAUUUAAUAUUUAAUUAACAUAAUUAAUAUUUAGGAAGACUGGAAAGAGCUGUAUUGUGCCUUGAUCAAAUAUGCAGGUGAUCUAAAAUUCUGCAGAGGAAAACGAUAUGGCACUUGUUGCAACAGAAUUAUGGUGACAGAGAAACAGUGGGAGACAGGUGUGGAACAGUGGGAUUUCUGAAGUGUUUGUAAAUAUAGGUAUGUGUACACUGAUGGGAUGCUUUUGAGCAUGAAGAGGGUGUAGGAAAACACAGAAAGGCAGCAGAGAUAAGAAAUAAGAACAUUCUAACUUAGCAGUAAGACAAAAAAUGGUGUAACAUUUUUUUGACCAGUAAAUAUCAAAAAAAAGUAUAAAGAUUAACUGAACACAGAAGAAACAAAAAGCAGACUUUUCCAUUGGCUCAGAAACAGAGCAGGCAACCAUGCCCAUAUUGGCUCAAGAUAACUAGCAAAGGUAACAGUGUCUGUGAAAAUGAGAUGAAACAGGCAAAUAAUCAACCUGAUAACCUGAUAAAUCUGUACCCUGACUAUUAAGGCAAACUGGCCUAUUACAGGAAAAAAUCCUGUGCACUGUAUAUACUGAAUAAAAGCUUAUGUCAAGUGUUGGGCUGUAAGUGCUCAACAUUUCAAACAGUGCUUCUUGUAUAAAAUGUAAGCUACAGAGUGCAACAAUUUAUUUCUUCUCAUACAAAACUAUAAUUUAAGAAUGAAAGAGAAUACCACAGGUCUCACAGCAUGAAACAGCUGCAAUUUUACAGGGAAAACAUGAGAGCUAGAUGAAGAACUGGAUUUUAGUCAUAUAUCUGUAUGGUUCAAAACACUGUUUCAGAGCACAGGUGCCAUAAUUAAUAAAAAUGCAUGAGAUUUUAUUGAGAUGAUGAAAAAUAAGAAAUGCUGAACUCUUACUUUCAGAUACAAUUAUGCAGUUGAUAUGCAGCCUGGAGUUAGGAAUGGAAAUUCUUCCUCAUGGAGACACAACUGAACUGAGUUGCCUUCUCCAGGUGUGUGUGAAAACAGGAACUGAGACAAACUCAGAAUUUACUUCACUUGAAGAGAUACUGGAUUAUGCCUUGGGCUACUCAGACCCUUUUCAAGUUUUGAGCCUCAGCAGGCAGCUGGAAGAGGAUCAGGGAGGCCCUUCCACUGAAAACUUCAAAUCUUCUCCUGACAUUUAGCACUGCAGCCCAAACCAGAGCCUGGCUUUUCCCUGUGGGAUUGGCUGGCAAACACUGUGCAGUACAACCAUCUCCAGGAAACAGCAGAUGACUCACAUGUUCACUUCCAGUCUGGUACAGACACUGUCAAAGCAAAUUUGUGUUGCUGGAUACUGAGCAGCAGGUGGUGUGCAAGGAAUAGAGAUUUUUAUUUUGUUUUAUUUUUUAUUUAAGUUUGAAUCUGUUCUAAUUGUGUCUCUGAACUACAAUAAGGCUGUGGAGGCAGUGUAUUUUGAUGUCCAGUGUACCUUUUAAAACUCAAAAGCCAGCAGUAUUGUUUUAAUGCAUUUCUGUUUAACAUUGUCGUGGUUUUUUUGUUUUAUUUUCUACCCAUACUAAUAAUCUGAAAGAUAUUGCACUGAAUAAUUUACUUUAUCAACCUGUUAGCAGCUACAGAAGAGAACUCCAACAAAAUGAACGUUCCUCAAUUAAAAGUCAACCCCUCAAGAGGUAAAUAUAAAUGCUAGAAAUCUGCUGCUGUACAGACUGAAGAGACUAGACUGCACACAAAUAAUAUGUAAAAUAUUACUAGGAGGAGUGACCAUUUAUAGGCUUGAGUGCCACUCACACAAAGAGAUGGAUUUCACUACCAAUUUAUGUAACAACAAUGGGACCAGUUCUCUGCCUCAGUUUAUACAUGUGUAGAAUCUGACAAAUUGCACAGACCAGAUUUACUUGAUUUCAACCCCAAAUAUCCUUUGCUUUCCCAUGGAUGAUCAUUCUCAGCAUUUCAGAUUCUAAGCAAUUCCUAUGGGCAGAGACUCUCAAAAGCUAAAUUUGAGGCAAUGCCUUAUGAUAAAGCACUGUCACAGCCCCUCUGAACAGCCAAGCCUCUCCCACUGUUCACAGGGCUUUUGGUUUUCCUCUGCUUGCACUCAAAACCGACAACUUCACCUAGUCCAUAUUCACAGGCUUUUACCAAGAUUACCAGACCUGUCCUCAGGUAGAAUCAUCAGUAAUACAAACCUGGCUGGCCACUAGCCAUUAAAAAACCUGUUCCCUUUCAUUUAUAAGACUUUGUUGCCUUAUCCCUUCUUCCCCCUAGAUUCCACAUAUGUAAAACUCAGCCACUGUUGAGCACCUUCCUGUGUUUGUGAUCAGUAUUGUAUUUUCUACAGUGAUGCGAGAGGCUGGAACAGUGUGAAGCUUUUUUUUUUAGAAAUAAACAAACACCCAAUUUC